rnacentral:tRNA from 1 species
GGCUAGAUAACAUAAUGGUUAAUGUAGAGGAUUGCAAAUCCUUAAAUGACGGUUCGAUUCCGUCUCUAGCUU